UAUAAAGUAAGCUAAAUUAUUAAGCUACUGGGUCCAUACCC
rnacentral:tRNA from 1 species